rnacentral:rRNA from 1 species
AUGCCAUCUGGUAGGCACGACAGUGCUCUGCUCGCCGUCCGCUGGGAUUCUUCUCCUCCAGCACAUAUCCUUGGCGCUCGCGGCCUGGGGUCGCUGUCGCCAUUCUUUCUGGUGCUCGCCGGCGAGAGCGUGCCGGUGGACCUCCAUGGCGGACGCCGCGCGGCGGCGCACGGGCCGGCGCUGCUCCUCUACUUCGUCUCUCGCCAGGUGAUCCACAUCGCCGAUCCGGCCGCCGCCGAGGAGUGCCUGACGGCCGACGACAUCGUUUCCCCCAACUGGCCCGAGCUCCCCUCCGCACGCCACCUCCCCAUUGAAUGUCCACGGGCCUCCUCCUCCGCUCCGCGGCCGUCCGCGUGGACGAGGUCCGCCUCCGACCGCCAGUGCUCGGUGUGCUGGACAUCGGCGGCGCCAAGCGGCGGCCAGUGCGGCUUCCCAGAAGGGCGGCGACGCGGCGAGUCAUCGACGAGCACCGCGCCUCCUUCGACGAACAUGAUGAGAUGA